CCGAAAUUCUAUAGUUUCGGAUGGACUACAACAGAAGGUUGAACUGGAUUUUGCGUUCAUUGAAGUUGUAAGCAAGAAGGGCAAGAAUCAGAAAAAGGGAAUGAACACAGGUACACGCGAUCACCUGAUCGCAGGCACACGCAACACACAAUGUACGUCCAGCGACAAGCAACCUGCUGGGCAGUACUCGGUUUGUGAAAACAGG
rnacentral:lncRNA from 1 species